rnacentral:miRNA from 1 species
UUUGAUGUCUGACUUUGCAG